rnacentral:sRNA from 1 species
GGAACCUGUAGGCAGCGCUGGAGCGUAGCGGGAUAGCAGCUGCAAGCGCGCGUGGGAGGCGGGGGCUCUGGGCGGAACAAAAAUCACAGGAUGUCAGAGGAUGUUUCCCGGGAAGAACUGGGAUAAAGGAAGGGUCCUAGCACCAUGGAGGACCCGAACCCUGAAGAGAACAUGAAGCAGCAGGAUUCACCCAAGGAGAGAAGUCCCCAGAGCCCAGGAGGCAACAUCUGUGAGUACACAUGGCUGGCGGGCUAGAGGGUAGGGUGGAGGAGCUGAUGCUAAGAUCUCUGUGGCACUUCAGUGUCCAAGGCUCCACAGAGUUUUGCCUGUUGAGAAGGGGCUGUAAUGGUCCCUGAGCUGCCCUAGCAGGAAGUGCAUCUCCACACCAGCUUAUGUGGCCAGAGUACUCACCCUCCUCUGGCCAUAUAAGCAGGAUUGCAAUGCUUAUGCAUUCAGGGUGGCUUCCAAGAGAGGCUUGGGUUGGAGAUGUGGCUGGGAAUGGUUCUAUUGGGAGAGAAACCCCAAGAUUAUGGUCCCAACUCUGCCCUAGACUUUCAGUGUAACUUGG